rnacentral:siRNA from 1 species
UGCGGUUGCUGAGGAGGUUCC